UGGCUCAGAGUGAACGCUGGCGGCAGGCCUAACACAUGCAAGUCGAGCGGCAGCGCGUCCGACCACCCUCGGGUGGUCGGAUGGCGGCGAGCGGCGGACGGGUGAGGAAUGCAUCGGAAUCUGCCUCGUUGUGGGGGAUAACGUAGGGAAACUUACGCUAAUACCGCAUACGACCUACGGGUGAAAGUGGGGGACCUUCGGGCCUCACGCGAUGAGAUGAGCCGAUGCCGGAUUAGCUAGUUGGCGGGGUAAAGGCCCACCAAGGCGACGAUCCGUAGCUGGUCUGAGAGGAUGAUCAGCCACACUGGGACUGAGAUACGGCCCAGACUCCUACGGGAGGCAGCAGUGGGGAAUAUUGGACAAUGGGGGCAACCCUGAUCCAGCAAUGCCGCGUGAGUGAUGAAGGCCCUAGGGUUGUAAAGCUCUUUUGCCAGGGAAGAUGAUGACUGUACCUGGAGAAUAAGCCCCGGCUAACUUCGUG
rnacentral:rRNA from 1 species